GGACUCCAGCCCUGCUUCUCCAUGUGCUUAAAGUAGCGUUUGUGAUUUAGACAUCUCUCUUUCUCCUGACAGCUUGCUUUUCAAGUCCAGUCUAUCCUUUCAAGAGGUCAAGAAAGUCCACUCUGAGAUUUUAAGUUGAUCAAUAGUGUCUUUGUUUGAGGCUAUAUCCUCUUCUAGAGCAAUAAUUCAAGGCUCAAAUUGGUGGAAAAAAGCUGAAAGGAUUUAAAGAGCUGUGUGCUACAAUCUAUCCUCUGUUGGGGAGUUCACAUGAAUUCAACUUAAAGAAAACCCACUUAUUGGAAUAUUUGGAAAACAUGGAAAAGUGUAAAAAUGAAAAUAAAAAUUACCUAUAAUUGGAUAAAUCAGAGAUAAAUGCAGACAACAUUUUGGUAUGUAUCCUUCUUAUUCUUCUAUUCUUUUUUCUUUGUAAAGUAAUUAAAGGAAAAAUAAGAAAUACAGAUAAGAAUUUCCCAAGUCAUUACAUCGUCUAUGAGAAAUAGAUUUUAUUAUUUUAUUUUUUUAAGAUUUAUUUAUUAGAGAGAGAGUGCAGGUGCAGGCACAAACAUGCAAGUGUGUUGGAGGGGAGGGGCAGAAGGAGAGGGAGAGAAACUCAAGCAGAUUCUGG
rnacentral:lncRNA from 12 species